rnacentral:rRNA from 1 species
UACGUAGGUGGCAAGCGUUGUCCGGAAUUAUUGGGCGUAAAGCGCGCGCAGGCGGUCCUUUAAGUCUGAUGUGAAAGCCCACGGCUCAACCGUGGAGGGUCAUUGGAAACUGGGGGACUUGAGUGCAGAAGAGAAGAGUGGAAUUCCACGUGUAGCGGUGAAAUGCGUAGAGAUGUGGAGGAACACCAGUGGCGAAGGCGACUCUUUGGUCUGUAACUGACGCUGAGGAGCGAAAGCGUGGGGAGCGAACAGG